rnacentral:rRNA from 1 species
GAAUUCGCCCUUAGAGUUUGAUCCUGGCUCAGGAUGAACGCUGGCGGCGCGCCUAACACAUGCAAGUCGAACGAGCGAGAGAGAGCUUGCUUUCUCAAGCGAGUGGCGAACGGGUGAGUAACGCGUGAGGAACCUGCCUCAAAGAGGGGGACAACAGUUGGAAACGACUGCUAAUACCGCAUAAGCCCACGGGUCGGCAUCGACCAGAGGGAAAAGGAGCAAUCCGCUUUGAGAUGGCCUCGCGUCCGAUUAGCUAGUUGGUGAGGUAAUGGCCCACCAAGGCAACGAUCGGUAGCCGGACUGAGAGGUUGAACGGCCACAUUGGGACUGAGACACGGCCCAGACUCCUACGGGAGGCAGCAGUGGGGAAUAUUGCACAAUGGGGGAAACCCUGAUGCAGCGACGCCGCGUGGAGGAAGAAGGUCUUCGGAUUGUAAACUCCUGUUGUUGAGGAAGAUAAUGACGGUACUCAACAAGGAAGUGACGGCUAACUACGUGCCAGCAGCCGCGGUAAAACGUAGGUCACAAGCGUUGUCCGGAAUUACUGGGUGUAAAGGGAGCGCAGGCGGGAAGACAAGUUGGAAGUGAAAUCUAUGGGCUCAACCCAUAAACUGCUUUCAAAACUGUUUUUCUUGAGUAGUGCAGAGGUAGGCGGAAUUCCCGGUGUAGCGGUGGAAUGCGUAGAUAUCGGGAGGAACACCAGUGGCGAAGGCGGCCUACUGGGCACCAACUGACGCUGAGGCUCGAAAGUGUGGGUAGCAAACAGGAUUAGAUACCCUGGUAGUCCACACCGUAAACGAUGAUUACUAGGUGUUGGAGGAUUGACCCCUUCAGUGCCGCAGUUAACACAAUAAGUAAUCCACCUGGGGAGUACGACCGCAAGGUUGAAACUCAAAGGAAUUGACGGGGGCCCGCACAAGCAGUGGAGUAUGUGGUUUAAUUCGACGCAACGCGAAGAACCUUACCAAGUCUUGACAUCCCUUGACGAACAUAGAAAUAUGUUUUCUCUUCGGAGCAAGGAGACAGGUGGUGCAUGGUUGUCGUCAGCUCGUGUCGUGAGAUGUUGGGUUAAGUCCCGCAACGAGCGCAACCCUUACUGUCAGUUACUACGCAAGAGGACUCUGGCAGGACUGCCGUUGACAAAACGGAGGAAGGUGGGGAUGACGUCAAAUCAUCAUGCCCUUUAUGACUUGGGCUACACACGUACUACAAUGGCGUUAAACAAAGAGAAGCAAGACCGCGAGGUGGAGCAAAACUCAGAAACAACGUCCCAGUUCGGACUGCAGGCUGCAACUCGCCUGCACGAAGUCGGAAUUGCUAGUAAUCGUGGAUCAGCAUGCCACGGUGAAUACGUUCCCGGGCCUUGUACACACCGCCCGUCA